CCGGCGACCGGCGCACGGGUGAGUAACACGUAUGCAACCUGGCCGUGACAGAUGGAUAACCGGGAGAAAUCCCGCCUAAUACAGCAUGACGCCGGGAAGGGACAUCCCUUUCCGGCCAAAGGGGGCGACUCCGGUCACGGAUGGGCAUGCGGCGCAUUAGGUAGUUGGUGGGGCAACGGCCCACCAAGCCGACGAUGCGUAGGGGUUCUGAGAGGAAGGUCUCCCACAUUGGAACUGAGACACGGUCCAAACUCCUACGGGAGGCAGCAG
rnacentral:rRNA from 1 species